AUGGGAGGGGUGGUGGGAGGAGGGGAGGGAGGUGGAGGAGGCCAUGUCCAUCGUUUGAAUUAUGGGAUUAUUACCCUUCUUCCCAAGACUGUUGGUGCCAAUAAGAUACAACAAUUUCGUUUGAUAUGCUUACUUCGAUGCAUUUAUAAACUGAUCACUAAGGUGCUUACUGUUAGAUUGGAACCUUUUGUUGAUAUCCUGUUCAGUAGACAUCAAAAUGCUUUUAUCAAAAAGCAGGAUAUCAUGGAUGGGAUUAUGUCUCUGCAUGAAAUUCUUCACCAUACAUAUGCUAGAAAAAAAACUGGGAUUGUCCUCAAACUAUAUUUUGAGAAGGCAUACGACAAGGUAAACUUGGAGUUCCUGUUGGAUUGCCACAAAAUGAGAGAAUUUCAUCUGCAAUGGAUUGAAUGGGUUAGAAAAAUUCUGGUAGGGGGCACAGUUAGUGUAAAACUUAAUGAUGACAUUGUGCCCUACUUCCAAAGCUCGAAAGGGGUACGUCAGGGGGACCCUUUUUAUCCUUUUUUGUUUAAUCUUGUUGCAGAUUGCUUGACCAAAAUGGUGCUUAAAGCCCAACAUAACGGCCUAUUUAAAGGACUAGCGGCUGACUUGAUCCCCAAUGUGGUAGCUAUUCCGCAGUAUGCAUAUGAUAUAGUAUUAUGA
rnacentral:rRNA from 1 species